rnacentral:rRNA from 1 species
UGGGGAAUCUUGGACAAUGGGGGCAACCCUGAUCCAGCGACGCCGCGUGGGUGACGAAGGCCUUCGGGUUGUAAAGCCCUUUUGUCGGGGACGAUGAUGACGGUACCCGGCGAAUCAGCACCGGCUAACUCCGUGCCAGCAGCCGCGGUAAGACGGAGGGUGCUAGCGUUGUUCGGAUUUACUGGGCGUAAAGGGCGCGUAGGCGGCCCUGUCAGUCGGGUGUGAAAGCCCGGGGCUCAACCCCGGAACGGCACCCGAGACGGCAGGGCUGGAGACCGGGAGAGGAGGGUGGAAUAGCCAGUGUAGAGGUGAAAUUCGUAGAUAUUGGCUGGAACACCGGUGGCGAAAGCGGCUCUCUGGCCCGGUUCUGACGCUGAGGCGCGAAAGCGUGGGGAGCAAACA